rnacentral:rRNA from 1 species
CACGUAGGCGGACUGGAAAGUUGGAGGUGAAAUCCCAGGGCUCAACCUUGGAACUGCCUUCAAAACUAUCAGUCUCGAGUUCGAGAGAGGUGAGUGGAAUUCCGAGUGUAGAGGUGAAAUUCGUAGAUAUUCGGAGGAACACCAGUGGCGAAGGCGGCUCACUGGCUCGAUACUGACGCUGAGGUGCGAAAGUGUGGGGAGCAAACA